UGCAUAAGCCCCAGGUUUCAAACAGCCAACUCCUGCACUGAGCACAGGACCCAGUCCCACUGCCUGGAUGCUUCCCAAACAGAUCAAGCCAAUCAACUGGAGAGACAUCAUCUUGAUCAGCCCUGGGGCUAUAGUAUCUCAACCCGGAUCCUGACCCUUGAAUCAGAGACUUCUGUUAGAGAAGAAACCUGAACUUAAGCUAAGAUAGAGGUAACACACCGGAAAAAAGGCCAUCAGAACCCCUGAACCUGGAGUAGCAGAUGGUUAUGAUCCUCCUGAUUUGGGUGCUGAGAUCUGAAAUCAUGUCAUUCCCAAGAAUAAUCUAUGCUGAGUGACCUACCAAGCCCAUAAUACUUUUUAACCAAUAAUCUAAAAGUCUUUCAUGGAUUAACAACAACAAAAUCUAAAUAAAUAAAGUAUAUAAAUGA